GCCUUCGUGGUGUAGUGGUCAGCCCGCUCGACGCGUAUUCGAGAGGUCCGUGGUUCGAUUCCCCGCGAGGGCA
rnacentral:tRNA from 1 species